rnacentral:rRNA from 1 species
AUCUACCCCUCGCAGGGGGACAACCGGGGGAAACCCCGGCUAAUACCCCGUACGCUCCGAGGUCCGCAUGGUCCACGGAGGAAAGGUAGCUUCGGCCAUCCGGCGAGGGAUGAGCCCGCGGUGCAUUAGCUAGUUGGUGAGGUAACGGCUCACCAAGGCGACGAUGCAUAGCUGGUCUGAGAGGAUGAUCAGCCACACUGGGACUGAGACGCGGCCCAGACUCCUACGGGAGGCAGCAGUCGGGAAUCUUGCGCAAUGGGCGAAAGCCUGACGCAGCAACACCGUGUGAGCGACGAAGGCCUUCGGGCCGUAAAGCUCUGUUGUUGGGGACGAAGGACGAAGGGUUAAUAGCCCCUAGUCUGACGGUACCCUUCGAGGAAGCCCCGGCUAACUACGUGCCAGCAGCCGCGGUAAUACGUAGGGGGCGAGCGUUGUCCGGAAUUAUUGGGCGUAAAGAGCGUGUAGGCGGUUCGGUAAGUCUGCCGUGAAAACCUGGGGCUCAACCCUGGGCGUGCGGUGGAUACUGCCGGGCUAGAGGAUGGUAGAGGCGAGUGGAAUUCCCGGUGUAGCGGUGAAAUGCGCAGAUAUCGGGAGGAACACCAGUAGCGAAGGCGGCUCGCUGGGCCAUUCCUGACGCUGAGACGCGAAAGCAUGGGGAGCGAACAGGAUUAGAUACCCUGGUAGUCCAUGCCGUAAACGAUGAACACUAG